AAUGAUACCUGGCAAUACUAUGAUCAUGAAGGUGAUUUUCCCAGGACAAGGCUUAUCCACUGUACUCUGGAUGUGUUGACCCCUGCAAUUUCCCCAAAUAUGGGAAACUCGACUGCAUAAUUUGUGGCAGUGGGGGACUGUGUUCGCACUUUCCCCUG
ensembl:snRNA U1 U1 spliceosomal RNA